rnacentral:rRNA from 1 species
UACUCCUACGGGAGGCAGCAGUGGGGAAUUUUGGACAAUGGGGGCAUGACGCAGCUGAUCCAGCCCAUGCGGGGUGAGUGAAGAAGGCCUUCAGGGUUGUAAAGCUGCUUUCGUACGGGAGGAUGAUGUAAAUAUGGUGUAAUAGCCAUGAGACUCAUGACGGUUCCGUGCUAACAAGCACCGGCUUACAACGUGCCAGCAGCCGCGGUAAUAC